rnacentral:lncRNA from 1 species
UCUCUCUCUGAGGCUGUUAAAUCAACCUUGGCAUCAGCUAUGGACAUUCAGGUGCCCUACAACAUGGAGAGGGUGUUCUGGCUGCUCUCUGGCUCUGACAGCCAGGUGACAAGAGCCCUCAUGGAGCAGUUUGAAAGGACCCAAAGUGUGAAUCUGCCCAAGGAACUGCACAGCAAGUGGGAGAGACAGGACUACGAAAAAAUGGCUGUAAUGGAGUGUGAUGGGUGCUGUGUGGAACUGUGCCUUGGAAACUGUGGGCCCAGAAGAGGGAGCGUGACAGAUAUCCCAGGGACAGCCAUGGUCAGAGGUGGUGGCUGAGCUGGCCUCCAACCAGGAGGAGCAGUUUCACUCCCCGGUGCUGCCUCGCCCCUGCCUCUGCAGCCAAGUUCCCGGAAGCUGUCCUGGCUGCUGGCCUGACCCCUGAGACUCCCGCGGAGAUCGUAGCCCUGGAGCACAAGGAGACACGCUGCACCCUGAUGCGGAGAGGUGACAACUGGAUGCUGAUGCUUCGGGACACCAUUGAGGACCUUAGCCGACAGUGGAGGAGUCAUGCCCUCAACACCUCCCAGUAGCCUGGCUGGAGGUGGCUUUCUUUAGGCUUCAGAUCCCAGGAAGAUGCACCUUCUGAGCUGCCUUGUGCACCCUCCCCAUUAAGCGUAGGUUAGGAGGUUUCCGGGAGGCUGCUCAGCUGGAUCUGGAGCCAGCUGGCUUUGCUCCGUUCCCUGGCUAGUCUGUGCCUGGUCACCAGGGAGGCUGAGUGAGGGGCUGUGAACAGUUGCCGGAAGCACCCCCUCCCUCCCCGGCCCGUGCAGCAGUGUCUGAGCUGUAGUGAAAGUUUCAGGGCCUGCAAAAGAAGAGGCUUGGGCACAGGACUGACCAUGGCUCCAGGGGUUUAGGACCCCAGACCUGUGAAGGUGGGAGCAGCUCACCACCUUCACGCAGGCUUUGUAUGUUCUCUGAGCCUUAGUUGAUUUUGGCCCCCAAACCAAAUCCAAAGGUUCUGGCCCACCUUGUCAGAGGCUUCCACCCUGCUCACAUGUUGGGAAUCCCUGGAAUAAAAUGCUUGUUCAGUG